rnacentral:sRNA from 1 species
AUGAGCUCAGCUCUGGAGAUGAAGUCCUAUAUUUAUACACAGAACAGGUACAGCAUGGACAGCAGCAGGGCAAUCUUUCCGCUUAUCAAUGUACCUCAGCCCUGAGCUAGAGGGACCACCUCUGGGGGUUAUCUCUAUGGCCCAUUCAGUCCUUGGUCCCU